rnacentral:siRNA from 1 species
CAAGUUACUCGCCAAGUGCCU